ensembl:lncRNA
GAAAGAAAGAUACGAAAUAGAGGAGAUCAAGAACAAGCUGGAACCCAUAAAUACUGGAACCCCGUAAGGAUGGUUUAAACCCGUAUCAACUCUGGUUGCCUCUGAGCAAGGAGAUAUUUAUGGAAGCUUCCAAGAAGACAAAUGGAACAGAAUGGGAUGUUUGCUUUCAUGGAUCAGCAAUGAAUCACACCACUUUCUUUCAGUAAUGACACAGAGUUAUAGAGUCUUCAGAAAGAAGCAACAGAAAGAAAAUGCUUUCUGCUGGAGAUCUGUGAAAGGCAUGAAGGCUCCUGAAUGGGGAACUGGGAUUAGGAGAGAGAGGCUGACUGUGGUUGGACUCAAAGGACAAUAAACUUCCACGCUUGUUUACACCUGGGUGCUGUGUCCAAAUGCUGUCUCUGGGCAUUCACUCUGCUCCAGGAUCUUCAGAAAAACAGGCUAAUAGCUGGCUGAAGGGAAGGGAAGAAAAGAGGGAUUGUGUCGGUGUGGAAUGGUCCAUGGCUGAACUCCUCUUAGGGAUGAAGACAAAAGCAGACCCGUGGAGAUGGGGGUAUCAGGCACAGCUCUGAAAAUAAAAUGUUAUUGGCUCAAGUCUGAAGCUGUCAAUUUCCACUGAGAUGGAAUAUAUUCCUCAGAAAAGAGAAGCACCAAAUAUUAUUAUGCAGUCUGCCUUUGGAGAAGGGAAAAAACACCCACUUCUUAUAAAAACACUUUUUUCGGAUGAAGGAUUUGAUUUCAACUGAUGAGUCAUCACUGUGUUUUUUUACCACUUCGCCAAAAAGUGAGGUUGUUUAAAAAGCAUUUCUUGAAGCAAAUUCUUCCAUUGCUAGGGUUUCUCUCAUCUGAGAGAGAAGGCGUCCUAAGUCCGCAGUGCUAGAAGCUGUCCUGGUCUGCAUGAAAGAUACUGUGGGACGAGAUUCGUAGUUAUCAAGUUCUAGAUUCAUUAUUAAAAAUCAACCUCAAGAUAAUAUUCAUGAUCUGGAAGCAAGAAAUUAUCAAGAAACAGAAAAUAAAUUUUAAAACACAAAUUUCAAUGAGUAAAAAAUAUGUUGAAAAAUGACACAAUGAAUGUCAGAAAGCAAAGGAAUUUAAGAGAACUUGGUGGAUAUUGUAGAAGAGGUGACCGUAUGUCUUGGUUUACCAAGGACAGUCCCAGUUCAUUCCUGAAACGCACCCACUUUCACUCUCAAAAAUGUCUUGCUUUGGAUAGUGAGUUAUAUGGUCACCCCCAGUGUGGCGGUUUUAAAAUACGUCUGCAUGUUCUUUGACACUCUUACCAUCGAGUCUAUCCCUUCCUCUUGAAAACAGGUAGAUUUUUAUGACUGCCUGGAUGAACAGGAUGUGGCAGCAGAGACACUACCUGACUUCCAAAUCUAGGUUAGAAAGGGCCAGGAACCUUCUGGUUGGCCUUGGGAUACUUGCUCUUGGAGGUGUCAGCCACUCUAUAAGGAGUCUGGCUACCAAGAGCUGCGAUGUUGGAGAAACCAGAGAGCAAGAGCAAGAGAGUGAGCGAUGCGUGAGGAAGCCCGGCUGUGCUACUGGAGUCUUCCCAGUCCUGGCACCAAACACAUGG